AUGUUUCCUUUAGUUGCUGUCCGAAAAUUAGUGAGAGAUGUUUCAGACCACAAUCCCCUCUUACUAUCAUCAUAUCCUUUAAAGAAAACGCCUCCUUGCCAGUGCGAGUUCAGAUUUGAAUUGAGCUGGCUAAAAAAUGAAGAGUUUUACGCUAAGGCCGAAAUAAUCUGGAAGCAGCCUGUGUAUUCAGGGGAUCCUAUUGACAUUAUAAAUAUCAAACUUAAACGCAUCAAAAAAUAUUUCAAAGGCUGGGGAUCGCAUACUUUUGGGCAUGCAAGAAAAAGAAAGAAAUGGAUCAAGAAGGAGUUGGAAAAGAUCGAAAGUAAAGAGGAAGAUGGCCCCCUUGAUCCAGGGACAUACGAGAGAAGAACCUUGUUGUGUGAGGAGCUCAACGAGAUCUUAGCAGACGAGGAGCUGUUCUGGCUGCAGCAGUCUAACGAAAGAUGGUUACUAAAAGGAGACCAAAACAUUGCCUACUUCCACCGUGUGGCCAAUGGCAGGAAGAGGAAAAAUACUAUCCACUCUCUGACUAGUGGGGAGACUGUUAUAGAGGGGACCAAAAACCUUCUUGACCAUGCCACAAAUUUCUACAAAGACCUAUUUGGACCUGCAGAGGGAAAUCUGUUUCAUUUGUCCCCUGAUACUUGGUCGAGUGAUGAGAAACUU
rnacentral:rRNA from 1 species